CGUCUAUAUACGUAUAGCAUAUCAAUAAGCGGAGGAAAAGAAACUAACUAGGAUUCCCUUAGUAACGGCGAGUGAAGCGGGAAGAGCUCAAAUUUGAAAUCUUCAAGGUUUUACCUUGACGAAUUGUAGUUUAAAGAAGUGUUUUCUGUUGAGUGUUUCGGUAAAAGUUCUUUGGAAUAGGACAUCAUAGAGGGUGAGAAUCCCGUAUUUGACCAUUAUUUCAGCUGUGUGAUACACUUUCAAAGAGUCGGAUUGUUUGGGAAUGCAGUCCAAAAUGGGUGGUAAAUUUCAUCUAAAGCUAAAUAUUGGCGAGAGACCGAUAGCGAACAAGUACCGUGAGGGAAAGAUGAAAAGAACUUUGAGAAGAGAGUUAAACAGUACGUGAAAUUGUCAAAAGGGAAGCGUUUGACACCAGCGUUGUUUUCUCGAAAAUCAAUUAAAAAAGGCAGGAUUUUGUGUUGUAUUGACUUUAUCAGCUUUCUGCACUCUUUUCUUGUCUUUUUUAAUGCACUUUUCGUUUAACAAGUCAACAUCAAUCUCUUUUGUUGUAAAAGGGUCAUUGGAAGGUGGCUUUCUUUUCGGAGAAAGUGUUUAUAGCCUUUGGCCUCUGCAAUCGGAGAGAUUGAGGUCUGCAGCGUAGAUCCUUCGGGGUUAGAUACAUUUGUGCUAAGUUAUAGCCUUUCAUAGACAACUUGUUGACUAUGAUCAGUCAUGUAGCUUACUCGCUUAUGCUAUUUUACCUACGCUUAGGAUGUUGAAGUCAUCGUAUCGCG
rnacentral:rRNA from 1 species